ensembl:lncRNA
UGUGUAUUCAGGGGACGGAGGGUGUGACGAGGAGAAAGGAGUGAACUUUUAACCCGGUGGUUCUCGAACUUAAAAGUUCACACCUCACACGUUUUUGUUUUUUUUCCUUAUCAAACUUUCAGGCAUCACAUUUGUUCGUUUUAGUUCCACUUCAUGUUCCACAGUUUGAGAACUGCUGAUUUAACCUGACCUGGGUUAAGUCAUUAUCACCCUGUUAUCUGGUGUGUUUGUUUUAAUGCCUGUGGAGUGGCAGCUGGGUGGAGUUUAACACGGAGUCGGUCACAAGAAAGGCAAAUUUGGGGGGGUUGUUCUCCCGUUUGCUCGCUCUCCGCCCGCCUCAAACUUAAAAAUCAGCUUAAAAGAGGUGAAGGUCGCAAAACAGGGAGCGGGGAAUGGGCUCGUGUGUUCAGGGUGGUUUCUGAUUGGACGGCACAGGUAUUCAGCUUCAUGUCGCCACAUGAGGUCAGCAGGGCCACAGCUGUGAUAGGACCGGACUUUGACUGUGGACUCGAAGCUUUGUGUGUCUGUGCUGAUCUGAAGCCUACACAAACACAGAGCUUCUACACGAGCACACACACACACAGUACGAUGGUUAGCGAGGCUUUACUGUGGCUACAAUAAAGGGAAACAUGACAUCACACCUGACAUCAGACGCCUCCGCAGUCUUUUGGCACAGCCGUAGAAACUGCAGCCAAUCACACGCAGCGAGGAAACUGCAUCACAAAACCUCAGGGCAGAGUGGAGAGAGAGAGGGACUUCCCAUAAUCUGACUCGCUCAUUCUUGUCUGUGUGUGUGUGUGUGUGUGGUUUCUAUGGUUAAGCAGUUUACACACACACACACACGCACAGAGCUUUUUAGCCCAGUCUGCAGAGAGUCCUGGCCCAGGUUUACGUCCUGUUUGUCCAACCAGCUCCAGUCUCAAAUCCAUGUCCUAAACCAAUCAUCAGCUGUCUCCAUCAGGCAUGAUGGAGGGUGGACAAACGGGUGUUUGGACGCCCUCUCCCCCAGAUAGAACACCAAGCUCCACCUGAUUGGAUGCCUUGUGUGAAUGGUCGUCUGCCUAAAACAAAUACGGUGCUUCACGUGAAAACUUAAAUUAUUUUUUAAAAACAGUCCAGGCAAAUGUGUCUGUGAGAACAUUUUCAGUGAGGCAGGUAGCAGACAUCAUGCAGUGCAAGAAAACUCAAGAGGAAACCGCUGAGGAAGUGCUUUGUCUUCAUGUAAAGUGGCGUUUUAAGUUUGUUUUUGAAGUUGAUGAGCAAAAAUCCACCAGCUCUGAUGAAGGACCUUGACAGCGUAGAGUCUGCAUAUCUGCUCAUAUAAUAAAUGCAUACAUUUACCUAAAGACAGAGCACCUCCGGCUUUCUUCAUUCAUUACGUAAAGCCUAGCGGGAUUGCCUGGAGCUUGAUUUGCUCUGAGAGGUGUCACAUUGCACCGGGCACCCCUGAUUUGUUUAAAGCAGCCUCAUCCUGGUGUCAUUUGGAAGACACCACCUUUGGCACCAGAAACACCUGUGGCCUCAUUUUUAGGGCACUUCUCUCGAGCAGUGUUGCGCUCUUAAAUCCCACUCCUCCUUAAAUUUGAUUGGUUAGAGAGAGAGGUCACAAUGAUGGGAAAUGUUUUCAACUUUGACCAGAAAAAAAAACUACACAGUAAGCCCCACAGGACAGAAAAUAGAUGCUGUGAGCACCAAAAGAAAUAACGAAAUAAGGCCACCUGUGCACACGUACCUUUACCCGUAUGUCCUGCUGAUUCGCCUCGCUGACAUCAGUCGUCCUCAUUUUACAACCUCGCACCUUUAGUCAUUACUUCUCAGUGGCGAUUGUAAAGAAGUGAAAGAAAAGAUGCUUCUGAGGGAACUUCAAGGACAGAUGUAGCAGUUAACACGAGUCUGGUAGAGGAAAAUAAAAACACCCGAACUGUUACACCUGUGCUGCCUUACCUGACAACAGAAUAACCGUUUCCCACCAGCUUCACAUUUUCACUCCUCAGCCUCAUCAGUGCUGUUCUUACCGUUUUUCUUCUGUAUUAUUUCAGAUGUAUUACUGUUACUCUUGUAAUUAUUAUCUUAUUAACAUUAAUAUUUUUUUUUUAAUUGCAUUGUAUCCUCUCGCCACCACCCGGCCUCUUCUCCAUUAAUUCCUGGUUUUCUGUGAGUUUGCGCUCUUUCCGUAACUAGUCGGCUUCAGUGCAGUCUUCUUUAUUUUUUAUUAUUUUUGUUUUAAUUACGCUGAUUUUAUAACCAUGUUACCGUGGACAGGAGCGGGGUCACAUUAACCCCCCCACGUGCUCUACACCGAGGGGGUCAGAAACAGUCAUUUUCAUUUUAUGAUGAUGUGUAUAUAUAUUUUUCCCAUUUUUUGGAGGACUCUGUAAGAAAACAAAGAGCAUUGUACUGUUUAACCAUUUUAUUAUUUGCAACAUGUCCCCCUGUGUUUUCACUCGGGUCUCUGUCUCUCCUCUCAUGUCCACCUCAGCGGUGAGCGCUCACUCCAGAGGACAGACGGAGACUUUUUUCUUUUUUUAAUGUCAUGGAGGAUCCACAUGUACUUCUGUUUCACUGCUAUCUGUUCAUCUUCAUUUGUAAUUAAAUAAUAAUCAGGGUUCAUUAAAAAAAGGUCAGUUUC